AGACAGGGUACCAGGCUAAAUUUUCCACUCAUUCGGCAAACCUAAUCAGCCGAGGAGUCCCUAAUGAUGCAGGUGUUAGGCCUACACAGUGCCCCCCUAGACAUCGCCAGAUUUCGUUUCUGGAGAUAAACAAAGAAGACGCCAUAUUACACAAGGUAUUAGGUAUACGCGAUUGCGGUAUGGCGUUCUCCAUGGCCAAAUUAUACAGCUGGUACAACGAAACUUAUGCGGAAAUCGGAGACUGCCGUACAAUCUGACCACGUUUUAAAGUUUGUGUAUGACAAAGAUGCGCAGUUUAUAAGGGGAAUUGUGCAAGCCUCCAUGCGAGACCGGAGCUACAGGUUACUGAGAAUAUUCAUUUGAUUUGCACCAAAACAUGACUGAUUCUGUCAGGAAAAUGGAAAGCUAGCCGAAAAUUCUAUGGCAUGUCCUGUCGCACGACUGCUUUUUUGUACGUUUUCAAAGACUUGAUAUAUCAAUGGUGAGUUUAUUAAUUCUAAACAACUUUUUCUUUCUCCGAGACGAUUUGGGGUUUGGAAAAAUUGUGUAAUUUAUGUAUUUUGCAAAAAAUUUACAAAUAAAUACCGUUUGACAGAUUUUUAAACGUAAAAUCGAAAAUCGGCAAUAAUGGGUACUCGGCAAUAAUGGGUGUACUCGCACGUUAUAUGUUUUAUCCUGCCUAUGCAAUAAAUCCAGAACAAACCUCUUUCCGAAUUUCCUUGACUGAAAGUGUCUAUGCAAUGUCUUAAUACAUAAUAAUAAAUUAAUUUACAAUUCUUUUUUUUUCUCUCUCCACAAUUUUCAAGUUUCCAUGUAAACAUGCUUUUUACUUUUAAAAUUGAUAGUAUCAGAUAAUAUAAGUAAAAUUCUAGGUGGUUAUUUUUUUUUUAUUUUAUUAGAUUACUCUUGGUUCUAACUACACAGUUGAACAGAGUACCUGUGAAUGUGUACAUGGGAUGGACAAAUGUCACCAUAAAGCCAGCAUUCUUCUCUAUGGGUACAAAAAUGUCAGCAAAACUGAUGUACGCCAGAGUUGGAUUAAGCAUCCAGAGUGCGCCACCUCGUCAAACUAAGACGAUGGAAGAACUUUUUCCUGCACAUGACAGGUUUAUAAAUUACAGCAAUGCAUUGGAUACUAUCCCCCGAGCUGCCUGUGCCCACACUUGCAGUGCUUCUAGUUGAAGACCUCAUCUCUAGCCAGGAAUUUAUUUCUGCAGAGAAUCCAAUCGCUUGGAUGAAGCAAAAAUUAAUGAUAAAUGAGCAAGAAAUCCAACAGAUUGCCUGUCUUACCACUGGUCAAAAGGAAAAUUGCAUGUGGUCAUCUGUUAGGAAGAAUAGAUUAACAGCUUCAAACUUUGGUUGUGUUUUGGCAGCGAUCAAGAGAAAUAGAUAUCCUGUCUCCUUAUACAAAAGAUUAUGCUCAGCUUAUGAUCUGUCAAAGAAGGAUGCCAUUAUUUGGGGGACGUGCCAUUGAAAAGUAUAGAACUUUUGGGGAUGCAGUUGUAGAGCCAACAGGUAUCUGGCUACACUGUAAUGGGGUUCUUGGGUCAAGCCCCGAUGGACUCAUUCGUCGUCCUGCUGCAUUCGGAUUCAGCAAUCAGAAUCCAGGACUCGCUGACAUAUUAGAGAUGUCAAACGUUAAGCCAGAAAUACUGGAGGUGAAAUGCCCCUUUUCAGCAAAGAAUUUGACAAUUCCAGAAGUUUUUGAAAAAGUACACG